rnacentral:tRNA from 1 species
GGCGGAAUGGCCGAGCGGUCUAAGGCGCUAGAAUCAGGUUCUUACGAGGAUCUUUCGUAUCUAGUCCGAAAGGGCGUGGGUUCGAAUCCCACUUCCGUCA